UACAGAGGUCUCAAGCGUUGUUCGGAUUCAUUGGGCGUAAAGGGUGCGUAGGCGGCGCGGUAAGUCGGAUGUGAAAUCUCGGGGCUUAACUCCGAAACUGCAUUCGAUACUGCGGUGCUUGAGGACUGGAGAGGAGACUGGAAUUCCUGGUGUAGCGGUGAAAUGCGCAGAUAUCAGGAGGAACACCGGUGGCGAAGGCGGGUCUCUGGGCCGAUACUGACGCUGAGGAGCGAAAGCGUUGGGGAGCGAACAGG
rnacentral:rRNA from 1 species